rnacentral:lncRNA from 10 species
GGGUGUGGGAAGGAGGACUUGAGCUGCAGAUGUGACGCUCCUGACACGUCGCAGGCACACGGCAGGUGUCGGCCUCCUCGCCAGCCCUGGACAAGAUGGGUCAUCAGGAUGGGACCGUGUGGCACAGCCUGCGGGCUUUGGAGCCAGGCAAACCUGGGCUGGGAAUCCUGGCUCUGCCUCGGCCUCCGUGAUCUUAGACAGGCAGCCCCAGCUCCCUGAGACACCAUUUCUCUACAACGGGAUCACGCUGCCUGCCUCGUGGGAUUUCCGUGGGCACUCAGGCCUCCUCCCCUCUCCCUCUGUGCUUUUUCAAACCUUCCAUGUCCAGCUCUGAGACCCCUGGACCCUGAGUCUCAGCCUUGGCAGAUGACCCCUCUCUGUCCUGCUGUGUGCAUGAGCU